GACGGACAGCGCGCUGGUGGCGGCCCUUCCGCUCCCGCGCAGCGCUCCGCACCUGGGCCCGGCGCGCCGGGACGGCGGCUCCGCACCUGCGGCGGUCAUAUUUGUCUGCCUGCAAGGAUGCAAACCUGAAAACCUUCCCUCGGAUCCAUGGGGCAACAGUCCCUUCAAGUUGAUCACAGUGAAUGGAAAGAACAAGUCCUCUCAGACAAACUAGUGUGUUAAAUCCACCAAGCCAGGCAGAUGUGUCAGACAUGGCUGGAGGCAGGUCUAAGCUGCAUUUCACUGGGUUUGAAGUCACAGGCAGAUCAUCUGUGAUGGACUCAGUCCUAGAGGGCAAAGGGAUUUACAGCAAGGAUCUAUUCCACUAUAAAAGGACACCAAGAAGAGCUUUGCUUUGAAAUCCUAAUCUAUGCUGCAAGUUCAAGUUUGCUCAGCUUCCACUGGCUUCAAUGAAUGUCAUCUGUACUCACACAGCUGUAAAAUGUUAUUUAUACCUACAAGUCUAGUGGGGUCAGAGCUCCACAGAAAUGGUGUAAGAGAAGAAGCCAGAGUUGCCUUCCUGUAAGUGGAGGAUUGUCCACAAGACAAGUCAGGUCCAUAGCAACAGAACUUUGAUUUUGCAAAUCACGUUUCAUCUAGAUAGAAACUGUAUUUAUUUUGAAAGAAAUAUUUAUUCUCCUGUUUAAUACCAUCUGACCUUUUAAAAGUGACUUUCAGUUUUAUAUGAUAAAACAAAAUAAUUUUCUUUCUAAUUUCUGUUUUGAAAAGUUUGGCUUGUUUCUGUUGUUUUGGUGUUUUGUUUUGUUUUGUUUUGUUUUAAAUAUGGACACAUAUAAAUUUAUUUAGCAUUUUGUGGAACGUUAUUGAUAAAAGAGACUGCAAGGAAGAAAUUAUUGAUGGAGAGGACUCUGUAUAAGCAGGAUAUCACUGCUUUUCGUAGAUCCUAGAAAUCAUAGCAGUUUUACCAAAAGCCAAGUGAAUUUCCUCAUUGGAACAUGUGAUCAGCUUGGAAAAAGUGUGGUUUUGUGCAAUCUGUUUCCUGCCCAGCUACAACUUUGCCUUUGGCUAGACUAGCACCACAAGUCAUAAUCAAUUAAAGUUCUUAUUUUUCCUUUCAGAACCAAGCAGUCAAGCUUUUUUUGUGAAAGUCUUAAUGGUGAGAAUAUGUGUAAGUGUGAAUGUUUUCCUAUGUCACUCAUAUUAAUGAAGGCUUGCAGGUGUAUUUGUAACACAUUUUCUGAAGUAACUUGCACAAAAUAUUUUUUCUUUUCCUUCUCUUUAUGGAGACAGGCCCCCUCCAACAUCUGCAUGUAAAAUCAAAUUUUCUGGCAAACUUGACAUUCCAUACCACCAAUCAGACCAUGAACUUGUACCAAGUUUAAUCUCUUCUCUGGAAAA
rnacentral:lncRNA from 1 species